AACGAACGCUGGCGGCAUGCCUAACACAUGCAAGUCGAACGAGAUCCUUCGGGGUCUAGUGGCGCACGGGUGCGUAACGCGGGGGAAUCUGCCCGUAGGUUCGGAAUAACAGUUAGAAAUGACUGCUAAUACCGGAUGAUGACGUUAAGUCCAAAGAUUUAUCGCCUGAGGAUGAGCCCGCGUAGGAUUAGCUGGUUGGUGUGGUAAAGGCGCACCAAGGCGACGAUCCGUAGCUGGUCUGAGAGGAUGAUCAGCCACACUGGGACUGAGACACGGCCCAGACUCCUACGGGAGGCAGCAGUGGGGAAUAUUGGACAAUGGGCGCAAGCCUGAUCCAGCAAUGCCGCGUGAGUGAUGAAGGCCUUAGGGUUGUAAAGCUCUUUUACCCGAGAUGAUAAUGACAGUAUCGGGAGAAUAAGCCCCGGCUAACUCCGUG
rnacentral:rRNA from 1 species